GGGGAAGUGGCGGAACCGGCAGACGCGCACGGCUUAGGACCGUGUGCCGCAAGGCGUGGGGGUUCGAGUCCCCCCUUCCCCACCA
rnacentral:tRNA from 1 species